rnacentral:rRNA from 1 species
AUUGAACGCUGGCGGCAUGCCUUACACAUGCAAGUCGAACGAGUGGCGAACGGGUGAGUAAUACAUCGGAACGUGCCCUGUAGUGGGGGAUAACUAGUCGAAAGAUUAGCUAAUACCGCAUACUAUAGGAGCGGCCGCUGUCUGAUUCGCUAGGUGGUGGGGUAAAGGCACACCAAGGCGACGAUCAGUAGCUGGUCUGAGAGGACGAUGAGCCACACGGGGAUGGAGAAACGGCCCAGACUCCUACGGGAGGCAGCAGGGGGGAAUUUUGGACAAUGGGGGCAACCCUGAUCCAGCAAUGCCGCGUGUGUGAAGAAGGCCUUCGGGUGGUAAAGCACUUUUGUCCGGAAAGCGGUACCGGAAGAAUAAGGAACGGCUAACUACGUGCCAGCAGCCGCGGUAAUUC